GAUGAAGAACGUAGCGAAAUGCGAUAAGUAGUGUGAAUUGCAGAAUUCAGUGAAUCAUCGAAUCUUUGAACGCACAUUGCGCCCUUUGGUAUUCCAAAGGGCAUGCCUGUUCGAGCGUCAUUUGUACCCUCAAGCUUUGCUUGGUGUUGGGCGUCUUGUCUCUAGCUUUGCUGGAGACUCGCCUUAAAGUAAUUGGCAGCCGGCCUACUGGUUUCGGAGCGCAGCACAAGUCGCACUCUCUAUCAGCAAAGGUCUAGCAUCCAUUAAGCCUUUUUUUCAACUUUUGACCUCGGAUCAGGUGGGGAUACCCGCUGAACUUAAGCAUAUCAAUAAGCGGAGGA
rnacentral:misc_RNA from 1 species